CCAGCAACACAAGGGGAAGCUACUCUGCAAUAUCAUUAAAAGGCGGCAUCUAUUGCGAAGUUACAGCGCGGAUUUUGUGUCAUCAUCAAAGCCAGGUGCAAAGUGCUUUACAUGCAGGCGUCUGAGCAGACCUCUUAUAAAGGAGCAUCUUCUUCAGAGUGGGCUGUUCAGUGGAGUGUGUCUACUGUCGCCACAAGGGGAGAGCAUCUAUACAUAUGGUUCCUUGCAGCAUUUGUUCAAAGAUGAUGCUCAGCAGUUUUUGAGAGCCUUUAGAACAAUAUCAAAAAAAGCAGAGGAAGAAACUAUACAAAAGGGUUUCCACCUGAGUCUUGAUUUGAGCCUGAAAAAUAAGGUUUUCAAGAUCUAUCACAAGACGUACACCAGCAUCUACUCAGUGUCAACUGACAAUCAGAUGGGUUUGCUUGUCAGCAAGUUACCAUAUGCUGUGAUGGUCUGUGUGUAUUCUUCUCCAGUAACCUCUGCUAAAGCUGUCAAACAGCUGGAAUACUUCUGUGACAAAAUGCAUUCUUAAAAUUAAUUGUAGCAUCUGGUUAUUGUCUUAAAAGAUUCAAAAUAAAAAAAGAAAGUAAAAAGGUUUACAGCAGCUACCAAAUGCAGCAUAAACUUUUCCAUGAAGAGUAUCUGCAUUGUAUGGUUCAUGAUGUACUAUCUGCAUUCCUAUGAAUGUUCUUGUGUUUCUAAGUAUUGUUAUGGUGCCUCAUAAUGUUUGGACUCAUACUUAUAAUUCACUUUUACUUAGAAACAUAUUGUACAGAUCAAAAUUAACUUCAAGUAGUACAAUGUCUUUUGCUGUAAACGUCUUUAUCACUGUGUUCCUGAUGACCUUCCUGCCUUGACCUCCAGACUCCAUUCUGCCCACUUCAUUCAGUGGCUGAUACACACCUACUUCCCAUUCCCAGCAUAUACAGCUUACAGAGGUCCCUCUCUCUUUGCCAAGCUGUUUGAGUGGUUUCAAGUAGCUGCUUAAGACUGGCCACUUUAACAUGACUUUCAAACACUUCAGAAUCUUGAACUUUUAUGGGAUCAAUGUGCUUUACAAAUCACAUAAACUUAUAAUAAACUUAGACCAUUUUUCUGGAGAUAUAUUCCCAAUACUGCAUCUGAUGAUAAGUUCAUCUGAUCUCAGGAGCCAAUGAUUAAAAAGUCUUAUUAACAUCUAUUUUGGGACGAUUUCUCUGCAGAAUAAAAGAUUGCUUUAUAUUGC
rnacentral:misc_RNA from 1 species